UGGGUGGACGAGCUCACAGUCCACCCGGUGUU
rnacentral:sRNA from 1 species